rnacentral:rRNA from 1 species
CCUUAACUGACGCUAAAGCUCGAAAGUGCGGGUAUCGAACAGGAUUAGAUACCCUGGUAGUCCGCACGGUAAACGAUGGAUGCCCGCUGUUGGCGAUAUACUGUCAGCGGCCAAGCGAAAGCGUUAAGCAUCCCACCUGGGGAGUACGCCGGCAACGGUGAAACUCAAAGGAAUUGACGGGGGCCCGCACAAGCGGAGGAACAUGUGGUUUAAUUCGAUGAUACGCGAGGAACCUUACCCGGGCUUGAACUGCAGGCGAACGAUUCAGAGAUGAUGAGGCCCUUCGGGGCGCCUGUGGAGGUGCUGCAUGGUUGUCGUCAGCUCGUGCCGUGAGGUGUCGGCUUAAGUGCCAUAACGAGCGCAACCCCUUUCUCCAGUUGCCAUCAGGUUAAGCUGGGCACUCUGGAGACACUGCCACCGUAAGGUGUGAGGAAGGUGGGGAUGACGUCAAAUCAGCACGGCCCUUACGUCCGGGGCUACACACGUGUUACAAUGGGUGGUACAGAGAGUCGGUCGCUGGCAAUAGCGAUCCAAUCCUAAAAGCCAUCCUCAGUUCGGAUUGGGGUCUGCAACCCGACCCCAUGAAGCUGGAUUCGCUAGU